GAUGAACGCUGGCGGCGUGCUUAACACAUGCAAGUCGAACGAUGAAGCCCAGCUUGCUGGGUGGAUUAGUGGCGAACGGGUGAGUAACACGUGAGUAACCUGCCCUUAACUCUGGGAUAAGCCUGGGAAACUGGGUCUAAUACCGGAUAGGAGCGUCCACCGCAUGGUGGGUGUUGGAAAGAUUUAUCGGUUUUGGAUGGACUCGCGGCCUAUCAGCUUGUUGGUGAGGUAAUGGCUCACCAAGGCGACGACGGGUAGCCGGCCUGAGAGGGUGACCGGCCACACUGGGACUGAGACACGGCCCAGACUCCUACGGGAGGCAGCAGUGGGGAAUAUUGCCCAAUGGGCGCAAGCCUGAUGAAGCGACGCCGCGUGAGGGAUGACGGCCUUCGGGUUGUAAACCUCUUUCAGUAGGGAAGAAGCGAAAGUGACGGUACCUGAAGAAGAAGCACCGGCUAACUACGUG
rnacentral:rRNA from 1 species